UACAGGGGGUGCAAACGUUGCUCGGAAUCAUUGGGCGUAAAGCGCACGUAGGCGGUCUGUUAUGUCGGAUGUGAAAGCCCUCGGCUCAACUGAGGAAGUGCAUCCGAAACUGGCAGGCUAGAGUACUAAAGAGGGUCGCGGAAUUCCCGGUGUAGAGGUGAAAUUCGUAGAUAUCGGGAGGAACACCGGUGGCGAAGGCGGCGACCUGGGUAGAUACUGACGCUGAGGUGCGAAAGCGUGGGGAGCAAACAGG
rnacentral:rRNA from 1 species